UUCUCCUCCCCCUUUCCCCGUUUUCUGGACUGGACAGCACGACUCCACGACACAAAUAUUGUCUUCGGGCGACUGUCGGACCGAACAUUGCAAUAAAAGGAGAGCUCUGUGGGUGAGUUGUUUGUGGGCUUGCACUGCGACGGGUCCAAGCGAAGGGGGCUACCGAGGGUUCAGGGAAGGGUUGAGAGGGUUGUAUGAAGGGGUUGAAAACGUUGCGGCGAGAUGUUACUGUAAUCGGUGUAUAGAGGAAAGGGUGAAAGUCGGACCUUGGCGUAUGUUGGGUUCAAGGACACGCAUGGACGAUGUAAGGACGUGAUGAAGAAGUGGUUAGUGUUAGUGGUGAGUGAAAAUGAUUAUACCAUGAUACUUGGGUCAGGGAUGGGUGGUGUGAUACGUAAUGUUGUUUGUUAUAGAGUGGUGCCGGUAGAUGAAGUCGCCAGUGGUGAAUAUAAGAGCUUAGAUAGGCUGAGAUUACUACAAGUGCGGAGUGUCGGCAGGAGUGGCGUUGUUGGUGAAGCCGGUUGGGCCUGUUAACAAAGUCGUGGUUGAUAAGAACUGGUCAUGGAAAAGUAAAGGUUCCCGCCGCCCGCGCCAAGCCACCCACCAUGUAGGGCAUCGGCCUGGCCUGCGGCACCUCGUCGGCGGCCACGUAUACGUCAGGGGCGUAACCUUGGGCCGCGGCGAUGGGCUUGAGCGUCUCCACGAUGGCGGAGGGGUAGCCUGUACACGAGCCCACCUUGAUGUUCAUCCUGCGUAGCUCCGUCAGGCAUUCCACAGUACCUGACGAAGGAAGAGGAGGAAAAUCAGGGAGGAAGGUGAACGGACGAUGUGGUUACCCGCUUGUGCAUGCCCAUGGGUCCUCGGGCCUCGGCGCUGGUCACCUCGAUGCCCUCCUCCCUGAAGAGCUCCAUGAAGGCGCCGGUGGGGGAGAACACACCGCAGUCAAUCACCGUCCCUGCGGCCACGGGGGAGAGAAGGGAGACGAGUAGAAUCAGUAAAAGUAAGGUGAGGGAGACUCCUUUGCUGAGGCAGAGACACAGGAAGGAUCCAUCGUCGUCAUGUCUUCCAGUCAGUUUGGAUCUGUGGCUCAAACAUCAUCAUUGGAAAGCAUAGUGUGUCAUCGAAGCAUGCCAGGCUCCCAACCUGGCAGAACUAAAUGAUAAAAAAACUAAGACUCUUAGUCUAUAAAGUAGAAUAAUAGUAGAUUACUACUGUUAAAAAAUAUAAGAAAGAGAUGAAGUUGAAGAUGAUGCUUGAAAUGUUUAUACCACAUUACAUUCCAUGCUAAUCUUAUUGUGUAAUUAUGAAGCUACUUCAAAUGUGCAGUUGUCUGCAAUAGAGAAAUUUCUCUUGACCACGAUGGUAUUAUCAGAUAGUGUAAGUUGAAAAAGGAGGGAGUAACACCUUUUUUAGACA